rnacentral:rRNA from 1 species
UACGGAGGGUGCGAGCGUUGUCCGGAAUCAUUGGGCGUAAAGGGCGCGUAGGUGGCCCGGUCAGUUCGUGGUGAAAGCGCGGGGCUCAACCCUGCGUCGGCCAUGAAUACUGCCGCGGCUGGAGCACUGUAGAGGCAGGCGGAAUUCGGGUGUAGCGUGGAAUGCGUAGAGAUCCGGAAGAACACCGGUGGCGAAGGCGGCAUCCUGGACCGGCAUUGACGCUGAGGCGCGAAAGCCAGGGGAGCAAAGCGGG